UGUUUAUUUGAGAUAUAGUACCGUAUGUGGAUGGUAUGAUGGUACUACGGCGACAAAAUCGGUUUAGCCAGGGUUGUUGAGUUGUUGUUGGCUGCGGUAAACCGUGUUGCACAUCCAGGUUUUUAUAUCAUUUUUGAUUUUGGCUUUGGUUGUUAUAAAGUUUCUACAAAAUCUUUUAGUACUUCUGAAGUAGUUCUGAAGCCAAGCCUGUAGCGAUCAUGGCCAUGGAUGACUUAGCGAUCCGAAAUGUACAGAAUCCGUUGCAUCUUAUCCGUUCUCGCUCGUGGGUGGAUUUUUCCACGUUUGAUCCUGCCUUCGACGAUGUGAUGCGAAAAGCUGUGGAGAAGAGCUCAUAUGCCAAGCCUUUCAAGCGCCUCAUACGCCGGUUGGUACUCGUGUAUUUCGCCCGCAGCCUGCUUUUCUGGACGGCCCUGAUCGUCAAAGCAAUCAAUGCAAGCCCAAUCGGGUGAUAAGCGUCAUGAAAACCAGGCACGCGAACACCAAGAGCAGUCAAGCCGACGUCCAUUCCUCUUGGAGUAUAUCCCUACCGUUAUAGAUGCAUGUACCAUAUUUGCCCUUUUCGGUCUUAACAAUGCUGGCUUCCUCUGGUACAUUACGCGAAAGUUACGCGGACAGUGGUUCCUAUUGGCAGGGAAUAUGGAGGACGACAUGGUGGUGUCUGUCGGUUGGGCCGUACACCCUCAGCGACAUGCCUCGUCCAACGCGGCGUCAACAGCGCCUUCUCCGCAUCUAGUUCGACUCUGUAGGAACGGACAGUGGAGAAUGGUUUACCGCCACCGUGGAAAAACGUUUAAGACGUUGACAAGGUUUUGGUUGGCGUAGACUUGGCAAUACGCAUCGGGACUUCAAAUUUGGCGCCGGAGGUUGUAGAAGACGCUGAAUUAAGUACUCCCGAUUGCAGUAUUGCUACUAUAAAAAUGUCGUGCGGCAACCGGUUUCCGUCGUACUUGGUUGAUGCCGGUGUGGCAGAAUCACUAGAAUGUAUGUAAAAGACAAUUAAACCUGAUCGUCUCAUGCUCUAGUCGCUUCAUGUAGCAACAGCGCAAAACAGAUGAAAUGGUUUAUCAUAGUCUCGACUCUCCAGUGAGCACAUUGUCAAUGGCAUUGAUUAUUAGCUCGCAUUGCGCUAAUAAUACAUCGUCAGCUCAGCGAGUGCAUUAGCGGCAUUCUGGAACAUGGGUAUUCCGUGAGUACAGUAUGAGAUAAUAUUAUAGUACCGUAUGUUGUACUAUGUACAUGGUACAACUACGACAUUCUCGGCUCAGCCAGUGUUAUUGAGUUGUCGUUGGCUGCUGCGGUAAACCGUUGUUGCACAAACCGUUCUUCGGUUUUAAAUUUUAUGUUAUAAAAUUUCUACCAAAUCUAAGUAUUUACCAGUAGUUCUGAAGCCAAGCUGUAGCGAUCAUGGCCCUGGAUGACUCUGCGAUCCGAAAGGUGCAGAAUCCGUUGCAUCUUAUCCGUUCUCGCUCGUGUAGUGAUUUGCAUCUUAUCCGUUCUCGCUCGUGUAGUGAUUUUUCCACGUUUGAUCCUGCCUUUGACGAUGUGAUGAGAAAAGCUGUGGAGAAGAGCUCUUCUGCCAAGCCUAUCAAGCGCCUCAUACGACGGUUGGUACUCGUGUAUUUCGCCCGCGGCCUGCUGAUAUGUACAGUCCUUGUCGUCAAAUCUAUGCAAUCCCAAUCGGGCGAUAAGCGUCAUGAAAAUAAGGGACGCGAACACCAAGAGCAGAUAAUAGGGCAGUGGCCGAUGUGAUACCGCCUCGUAGGACCAUGGAAACGAUAGCAAAAGAACUAAAACUUUAGGAAGGAACGAGUCGGAGUUUCGCUGCAGCUCCUCUCUGAUGAGCGUGGGGAUGAUUCAUUUUUGAUUUCCUAUUCUCCGUCCAAGCCAACGUCCAUUCUUUUUGGAGUAUCUGUCUACCUUUAUAGACGCAUGUACUACCUUCGCCUUUGCCGGUUUCGGGAAUGCUUGCUUCCUCUGCUACGUUACGCGAAAAUUGCGCGGGAAAUGGUUCCUGUUGGCAGCGAAUAUGGAGGACGACAUGUCGGUGUCUGUCGCCUGGAGCGAAAGCAAUGGCCUGCUAUGGGCCAUGGGAUUUAAUUUGUUGCUGGCCAUACUGGCCACGGUCAGCGUAGUGACGGUUGUGGGGACUGUUGAGUUCUAUUCUCCUGGAUUGUUCUUCAAGCUCUGGUGGCUUACUGGCUAUGUUUUGUGGUACAAUGCCACGGUGGGUAUACCGCCCUGGCUGGGACCGCUACUGAUUAUUCCCCCGGGGGCCUGUUUGGACGUGAUCGGGCUGAUUACCACGUGGCAGUGUCGCCGAGCCAUUCUGCGGUUUCAAAAAAUUUGCUCGGCCGACGGGCCGAGGAUAAUGACGACGAUGACGACGACGACGACGAUAAUGACGAUUGGCCCUUCAUUGUAGAGCAUGUGCACUACACUGUGUGGCAAAUGUG